UCUGGGUUUAUCCCAGCGGUCCCGUCAGAAAAAUAUAACUGACGGCGAGGGUUGCGCUCGUUGCGGGACUUAACCCAACACCUCACGGCACGAGCUGACGACAGCCAUGCACCACCUGCACACCAACCACAAGGGAACGACCAUCUCUGGCCGCGUCUGGCGCAUGUCAAACCCAGGUAAGGUUCUUCGCGUUGCAUCGAGUUAAUCCACAUGCUCCGCCGCUUGUGCGGGCCCCCGUCAAUUCCUUUGAGUUUCAGCCUUGCGGCCGUACUCCCCAGGCGGGGCACUUCAUGCGUUAGCGCCGGUACCCUGAGGGUCGCUCCCCAAAGCACCUAGUGCCCAUCGUUUACGGCGUGGACUAC
rnacentral:misc_RNA from 1 species